rnacentral:rRNA from 1 species
ACUUAAAUUGAAGAGUUUGAUCAUGGCUCAGAUUGAACGCUGGCGGCAGGCCUAACACAUGCAAGUCGAGCGGUAGCACAGAGAGCUUGCUCUCGGGUGACGAGCGGCGGACGGGUGAGUAAUGUCUGGGAAACUGCCUGAUGGAGGGGGAUAACUACUGGAAACGGUAGCUAAUACCGCAUAAUGUCGCAAGACCAAAGUGGGGGACCUUCGGGCCUCAUGCCAUCAGAUGUGCCCAGAUGGGAUUAGCUAGUAGGUGGGGUAAUGGCUCACCUAGGCGACGAUCCCUAGCUGGUCUGAGAGGAUGACCAGCCACACUGGAACUGAGACACGGUCCAGACUCCUACGGGAGGCAGCAGUGGGGAAUAUUGCACAAUGGGCGCAAGCCUGAUGCAGCCAUGCCGCGUGUGUGAAGAAGGCCUUCGGGUUGUAAAGCACUUUCAGCGGGGAGGAAGGCGAUAAGGUUAAUAACCUUAGCGAUUGACGUUACCCGCAGAAGAAGCACCGGCUAACUCCGUGCCAGCAGCCGCGGUAAUACGGAGGGUGCAAGCGUUAAUCGGAAUUACUGGGCGUAAAGCGCACGCAGGCGGUCUGUCAAGUCGGAUGUGAAAUCCCCGGGCUCAACCUGGGAACUGCAUUCGAAACUGGCAGGCUAGAGUCUUGUAGAGGGGGGUAGAAUUCCAGGUGUAGCGGUGAAAUGCGUAGAGAUCUGGAGGAAUACCGGUGGCGAAGGCGGCCCCCUGGACAAAGACUGACGCUCAGGUGCGAAAGCGUGGGGAGCAAACAGGAUUAGAUACCCUGGUAGUCCACGCCGUAAACGAUGUCGAUUUGGAGGUUGUGCCCUUGAGGCGUGGCUUCCGGAGCUAACGCGUUAAAUCGACCGCCUGGGGAGUACGGCCGCAAGGUUAAAACUCAAAUGAAUUGACGGGGGCCCGCACAAGCGGUGGAGCAUGUGGUUUAAUUCGAUGCAACGCGAAGAACCUUACCUGGUCUUGACAUCCACAGAACUUUCCAGAGAUGGAUUGGUGCCUUCGGGAACUGUGAGACAGGUGCUGCAUGGCUGUCGUCAGCUCGUGUUGUGAAAUGUUGGGUUAAGUCCCGCAACGAGCGCAACCCUUAUCCUUUGUUGCCAGCGGUUAGGCCGGGAACUCAAAGGAGACUGCCAGUGAUAAACUGGAGGAAGGUGGGGAUGACGUCAAGUCAUCAUGGCCCUUACGACCAGGGCUACACACGUGCUACAAUGGCAUAUACAAAGAGAAGCGACCUCGCGAGAGCAAGCGGACCUCAUAAAGUAUGUCGUAGUCCGGAUUGGAGUCUGCAACUCGACUCCAUGAAGUCGGAAUCGCUAGUAAUCGUAGAUCAGAAUGCUACGGUGAAUACGUUCCCGGGCCUUGUACACACCGCCCGUCACACCAUGGGAGUGGGUUGCAAAAGAAGUAGGUAGCUUAACCUUCGGGAGGGCGCUUACCACUUUGUGAUUCAUGACUGGGGUGAAGUCGUAACAAGGUAACCGUAGGGGAACCUGCGGUUGGAUCACCUCCUUACCUUAAAGAA